rnacentral:rRNA from 1 species
GACGAACGCUGGCGGCGUGCUUAACACAUGCAAGUCGAACGGAAAGGCCCUGCUUUUGUGGGGUGCUCGAGUGGCGAACGGGUGAGUAACACGUGAGUAACCUGCCCUUGACUUUGGGAUAACUUCAGGAAACUGGGGCUAAUACCGGAUAGGAGCUCCUGCUGCAUGGUGGGGGUUGGAAAGUUUCGGCGGUUGGGGAUGGACUCGCGGCUUAUCAGCUUGUUGGUGGGGUAGUGGCUUACCAAGGCUUUGACGGGUAGCCGGCCUGCGAGGGGGAGCGGCCACAUUGGGACUGGGAUACGGCCCAGACUCGUACGGGAGGCAGCAGUGGGGUAGAUUGCACAAUGGGCGGAAGCCUGAUGCAGCAACGCCGCGUGCGGGAUGACGGCAUUCGGGUUGUAAACCGAUUUCGCCUGUGACGAAGCGUGAGUGACGGUAAUGGGUAAAGAAGCACCGGCUAACUACGUG